ACCGCUCGGACGAUGAAUAGGUAGAUGGUGUUGGGGAAGAGACCACUGACCGUGUGUUUCUCCAAUUUGACCAGGUCAGCCACCGUUUGCCAUGUACUGCCUGCUGAUUGGCUAAAAGAAUCCAACUCAGCGGCAAGUAGCCUAGCGGUUAAGAGCGUUGGUCCAGUAACCGAAAGGUCAGAGGCGUGUGUGAAACAAUUGUGGAGGCAUGCAGAAGCAUUGACAUGAUAUCUCUGCAUUGGCAUGAUUGGUUGACAAUAGGUGACGGCGGUACGUCCUGUAAAUCAACACAAACUUGACAACUUCCUUCACAAUAGCUCUGCUCCGCCAAGUGCAAUAAAUAUGAAAGCCCUGAUGACUGAGGAGGCUGCUUCACAGUAAAUGCUGUACACCACUUCAGACACAGAUUGACGUUUAGGCUGCCCGCAGCAACUCUCUGAUUCGGAGGGGUUGGGUUAAAUGCGGAAGAGACAUUUUGGUUGUGCAACUGACUAGGUAUAACCCUUCGUUAGGUUAUUGGCAAAGCAUUCCACCAAACAUUGCCAUGACUCAAUAGUGACUACAAACUGUUCCUCAGUCUUUUUUUUUACAGAGAAUCAGAUAGGAGCCACUAGAAUAGCAGAGCCCAGGCUGAAGCUGUUUGCCUAGUCAUUAAGUGCUGUGUUCAGCGAUGCUUCGCUGUCCCCCAUGCUCAUUUGACGCACUGCGUUCCCGAGCCCAGUGACAGAUCCAGGAAAUGAUGACGGAGCUAUUUUUAGCCCACUCAGGUUUUUAGCCACGACGCACCAUCAGACCAUGCCAGAGCAUCUGGUAAAUAACAAUAACGCCAGCUGUGUGUUUAUGACAAGUUUCUUUGUUCGUAAAAAAAAAAAAUGUGUCAUCUUAAAUAUUCGUGUUUUGCCUUCUAAUAAAUAAAGUGAUAAAUCUUGUGAACAAUGCAUCUAAUAAAGGCAGUUCCGUUUGCA